rnacentral:miRNA from 1 species
CGCUGUUGGAAUCGCGCUCCUGGC